rnacentral:rRNA from 1 species
UACGGAAGGCAGCAGUGGGGAAUAUUGCACAAUGGGCGCAAGCCUGAUGCAGCCAUGCCGCGUGUAUGAAAAAGGCCUUCGGGUUGUAAAGUACUUUCAGUCGUGAGGAAGGUGUUAAGGUUAAUAACCUUAGCAAUUGACGUUAGCGACAGAAGAAGCACCGGCUAACUCCGUGCCAGCAGCCGCGGUAAUACGGAGGGUGCGAGCGUUAAUCGGAAUUACUGGGCGUAAAGGGCACGCAGGCGGUUAAUUAAGUUGGAUGUGAAAUCCCCGGGCUUAACCUGGGAAUGGCAUUCAAGCUGGUUAGCUAGAGUCUUGUAGAGGGGGUAGAAUUCCAUGUGUAGCGGUGAAAUGCGUAGAGAUGUGGAGGAAUACCGGUGGCGAAGGCGGCCCCUGGACAAAGGCUGACGCUCAUGUGCGAAAGCGUGGGGAGCAAACAGGGAUUAGAUACC